rnacentral:rRNA from 1 species
UACGUAGGGUGCAAGCGUUGUCCGGAAUUAUUGGGCGUAAAGAGCUCGUAGGCGGUUUGUUGCGUCGGCUGUGAAAUCCCGAGGCUCAACCUCGGGUCUGCAGUCGAUACGAGCAAACUAGAGUGUUGCAGGGGAGACUGGAAUUCCUGGUGUAGCGGUGAAAUGCGCAGAUAUCAGGAGGAACACCGAUGGCGAAGGCAGCUCGCUGGGACGGUACUGACGCUGAGACGCGAAAGCGUGGGGAGCGAACAGG